GAUUUAAUCACAGGGAGCACAGAGGACGGUACCUAAAUCAGAAGGGAUCUGGGGAGGUUUCCUGGAAAAGGUUUCAACCAAAGCCAUAAAUGCUGAUGUGGAUAUCAGGACAGUGUUUCAAGCAAUUUAGAUACAAUAUAAAAUAUACUGAUGCCAUAGUAGAAGAAGUUGAAGCCACUUUGCCAAGAUAUUUGGUUCUGGUAAGAUAUUUUAACGAUUGGUUUUAACUGUUGAAUGCAAUGACAUCUAUCUUUUUUCCUGCAAAAAGUAUCAUUAAUAGUUUUAUGUUUUGUGUUCUGUUUAAUGUAUAGAUAAUAUUUGAAUCUCUUCUUUUAUUGUUUUUAACCAUUGGAAUUUGUCUUUUUUCCUACUGUUUUCCUACUGUAUUUCUUUCUUUUUUAUUUUUUAUUUUUUGAGAUGGAGUUUUGCUCUUGUUACCCAGGCUGGAGUGCAAUGGCACGAUCUCAGCUCACUGCAACCUCCGCCUCCUUGGUUCCAGCAAUUCUCCUGCCUCAGCCUCCCGAGUAGCUGGGAUUAUAGGCAUGCGCCAUCACACCUGGCUAAUUUUAUAUUUUUAGUAGAGACAGGUUUUCUCCAUGUUGGUCAGCCUGGUCUCGAACUCCUGACCUCAGGUGAUCCACUCACCUCAGCCUCCCAAAGUGCUGGGAUUACAGGCAUGAGCCACUGCGCCUAGCCCCUACUGUGUUUCUUUACUUUCUUCCUUGAUCAUUCUUCUUGGUAAUGAGAUAACUUCUCAAGUAUACAUGGUUGUCUUAGUCAGGACUCUCUUGACUGCAGGUGACAGAAAUUAAGCCCAAACAGACUUAUAGGGGACAAAAGGCAAAAUAAUAUGACUACUCUGAAAAGAUCAGAGGUAGACAAUCUUUUAGUAGACAUGCGUAUAUUUAAGAGCCCAAAUGACAUCAAAGAAAACUGUGUUCUUAUCUCUGCUUCUCUCUGAGUUGACUUCAUUGUCAAGUUGAUUCUUCUUCAACUUUAGUCCAUAUACCACCAGAUUAGUAAGACUAGCCUGUAGAAAGUGCCUCUUACUUGAUACUUUCAAUUUAAUGAGCCAGGCUUGAUUCUCACUGGAUCAAAUUUGGUCCCAUAAAAAUUUCUACACCAAUCAUUUAGUUUAAGAGACAGAUUGACCAUGCUUGGGUCAUUCACUCACUCUUGUUUGAAUGGAGAGUUCUGAAGGGAAUGUAUGCAAGGUCAUUACAGCAGAUAGCUAGCAUAGUAUGAGGAGGACAGGAAAGGGCACCCCACCCCCAUCCCCACACACACCAGGAGUGUUGGGUAAGCAUCAGGGGAUGGUUGGGCUGUUGUUUACUGUCUCUCUAGAGUAAUAAUUAGUUACAGUAAGCACCAGGGAAGGGCAGUCUCCUAGUAGAUAGAAAAUACCUGAAACUGGUGAUCAGCAGCUUCCUGAUAAGAUCUCAGGAGUUGGGCGAGUAGGCUCAAGCAAGACAGCCCACCCCAGGGGAAGAAUCAGGGGAGGAGUAAUGCAACAUCCCAGAAGUGUGCCAACAUGCUAAGCCCCAGGUGAAAAGGUCAAACCAUGCACUUGAUCUCUCAAGUUGCCCACUUGGCCCUCCUCCAAGUAUACUUUACUUCCUUUCAUUCCUUUCUGCUAUUUGCCUCUCGGUUGAAUUCUUUCUUCUGAGGUGGCAAGAAUUGAGGUUGCUGCAAACCUAUACGGAUAGAGAUUCGCAGCUGGCAACUGGAUGAACCUCAUUUGACACUCUGUGUGUUGCUAUAAUAAGAACAAUGUAUGGACGCCAGGUACAGCAAAAAAAAAAAAAAAAAAAAAAAAAAUUAUUCUGCUACACUCCCUCCAUAGGGUCAGGGUGAAUUCCUAAGUGUUAUCUAACUUAUUUUAAUUGAAGGUAAGAAAAUCCAAAUGUAACACAAACCCCGAAGCUGAAGCAAUUGACUACCAAGAGGCCAUUAUUCCAUUUGGCUAGAAAUUGGCUGAUGAAACAAGAAUUGAUUCCAGAGUUAUUGAUGACUUGGCUCUCCCCCCUGUUUUCAAGGGGGAUUCUACUGAACCAUCAAGUCAUCAAUUUGCUCAUUUCUGCUUCCAUCAGUGAUUAAUAAUUCUGUAGUUGGAUAGGGUAUCUUUGCAAUUGCUAAGUGCUAAGUCAUUCAUUUCAUUAGUAAUACAUUCCUACUUUUAUUUGCUGCCUGAAAAGUAAGCUCCAUAAGCUCUGCAGUUAUAGCUUGAGCAUGAGGUCUUAACUAAGAAAUGAAAAUUAUUGUUACCUUUAAAAAUUGGUAAUGUAAGAAAAACUAUAAGACUUUAGAAUAGGUGCACGUUCAGUGGAAUGCUGAAGACUGGGUAUUAUCUGAUGCUGUAUCAGUGUAUCUUUGUCUCUGACUAGGCUAUGUUUUAAACUCUUUAAAUUGUAAAUAAAUGAUAGCAAUGCAACUA